GUGAGACGGCGAGUGUGAUGGUUUCAAUUUGCCGGAGAGACAUACCCCUCGGCUGGGGAGGGAACUCAGUUCUGCCCUGAAUGGCGGUCUUGACGGUGCUGUAAGGAGCUGCGUCAAAUGCAAAUAGUCAACGUCUUGAGGAACAGAAUGAAAAGAUUGGAAGAAAAAUGGACAGAAAAAUAAAAGUGUCCAUCAAACGUUGGGGUUUGUGCACAGCGGGGAGAGGCACAGCUGUUUUGGACGAGCGCUGUUAUCUGCCAUGACCCUGGGAGGUAGCGCGAGACAGGUUUGGCUCCCUGUAAACAAACAAUGGCUGCCCAACUGAGGACCUGGCCAAUGCAAGCAUUGUCGGACAGCAAAUGGAUUAACAGGCAUUCGACCCGGUGACAAGGAGUUGGUACCGAUUGAUUGAGAGUCAAGCUAAAUACUUUGGUGACUCCAGCACUAACCAGCCAUUCAGCCACUGAGCUCCAGCU